rfam:Schistosoma curassoni strain Dakar, Senegal genome assembly, scaffold: SCTD_scaffold0009001
AUUCAGCUGAUGAGUCCGAAAUAGGACGAAACCUGCGUUGUGGAU